UUUAGUAGCUUUCUCAGCUUUGACGCAUUUGAAUUGGCAGUCCAUGGUAGAGCAGCUUCCCCAUAAAUUGAACACAACGUUUCACAACUACUCAACAUUCCAUGUAAAUCUACAUAGCGGAUACAUACACUAUAUUAUAAUUAUACAUGGCUGAUGAGAUAUCAGAAUUGGCCAAUGGCUCCUCAAUUCUUAACAUUAAUGAUGCCGAACGCAACAGCAAGUAUGUUGGUUUCGCGGCAGUGGUGGUGAACAAAGAGAUGAAUAAUCUGCUGACAUUUCCAGGGGUGGCAGUGCUGUGGGGGCUAGAUGUGACGGUCAUGAUUUACACGGUCGGCCAUGUUUCCGGUGCCCAUUUUAACCCGGCUGUCACCAUUGCUUUCGCCACCUGCAACAGGUUUGCGUGGAGACAUGUGGCAGCUUAUAUCUCGGUUCAAGUGCUGGCCUCAAUACUAAAAAAGUGGAACAGUCGAAUAAUAUUUGGGACAGAGCAGCGUCACUUCCUAGGAACCCUUCCAUCAGGCUCUAAUAUUCAGUCUCUAGUAUUGGAGUUCAUCAUCACAUUCUACCUCAUGUUCGCUGUCUCUGGUGUUGCUACCGACGACCAAGCUGUAGGAGAACUCAGUGGACUGGCCUUGGGAGCUACUGUAACCAUUAAUUCCCGACUAGCAGGCCACUCCUCAAUUCUUAACAUUAAUGACGACGAACGCAACAGAAAGUAUGUUGGCCCUUCCUCUCCUACCUGCUCUCAGACCUUACGUUUCAUGCAAAAGCUGAUGGGGGAGUUUAUGGGCACAUACCUUUUGCUGUUUGCUGGUUUCGCGGCAUUGGUGGUGAACAAAGAGAUGAAUGAUCUGCUGACAUUUCCAGGUGUGGCAGUGCUGUGGGGGCUAGAUGUGAUGGUCAUGAUUUACACGGUCGGCCAUGUUUCCGGUGCCCAUUUUAACCCGGCUGUCACAAUUGCUUUCGCCACCUGCAACAGGUUUGCGUGGAGACAUGUGGCAGCUUAUGUCUCAGUUCAAGUGCUGGCCUCAAUACUAGCGAGUGGAACAGUUGAAAUAAUAUUUGGGACAGAGCAGCAUCACUUCCUAGGAACCCUUCCAUCAGGCUCUAAUAUUCAGUCUCUAGUAUUGGAGUUCAUCAUCACAUUCUACCUCAUGUUUGCUGUCUCUGGUGUUGCUACCGACGACGAAGCUGUAGGAGAACUCAGUGGACUGGCCUUGGGAGCUACUGUAACCAUUAAUUCCCUACUAGCAGGGCCCAUUUCAGGGGCAUCAAUGAACCCAGCAAGAAGUUUGGGCCCAGCAAUUUUUUUCAGCAAUUACAAGGGUAUCUGGAUCUACAUCGUUGGCCCAAUAGCUGGGGCCAUAGCGGGGGCCUGGUUCUACAAUAUCAUCAGGUUAACGCACAAACCUUUCAGUGAAAUCCUCAGCAUCAGAUGUUUCCACAGAAACUCGGCUCGUAUAGACUCGAAGCAACAGGGCCAUUAACCUGAAAAGAAAGGGAGAUCGCAGCUUUCUUGUUGACCUGCUUCAGAUGCAGCAUUUCUUUUUGUUUGAAAUUCAAUAAUAGAAGAACACAUACAAUAAUACAUAAAGCCAUUUAGUCAUGAAAAAAGAAGAAAUUAAGUUAAAAACAAAAAAAGGACAUUAAAUAAAGUCUAUACAUAGUAUGUGCAUGGUCACCUAUCUUGGAAAAUAAGUUCACCCUUCCCCGCUCUCUUAUAGACACAGGCGCGAUCAGAUGCAAAGACAUUAUUAGAUUUCAAUGGAAGAAGCAUCCAGACCUCACAGACACCAAGACGUACCUUUGAGCAUGGAAGGUGCUACUCCUCACUCUCCGCACAUUAAUAAUGAAGGCCCUUCUUGUUACUGUGUCACUGUACAGUUUAUGCAUAUGCAAGGAGUUUGGGUGCAGCAAUUGUUUCAAGUACGCGAAAAGGCGCUCUGGAUAUAGAUAGUAGGUCCAACAGUCGGGGCCAUCACAGGUGCCUGGGUUUACAAAAUCAUCAGCCUACUUGAGAAGCUCUCACGUGAUAUCACCAAGACUGGAUCUACCCUUAGAAGGUCGGGUCAACACGUAUCAGAUCAAACUGACAACUUCUGCUCCAUCCUGUAUCCCAAAUAGCGUUUCCUUGUGUUUUGCAUUAGCAUAAGCUAGGUGACCUCCUUAAGACAUAACGGCUGGAAUAGGAAAACUAUCUAUGUAGUAUAUACCAUCUGACUCCCAGUUUUCACUGCAAAUAUGUAACCAGGUCACUCCAAUUUCCAUGACUUCUUCAUCUAGCAUUUUGGCAACAAUUUGUUGAUCA